AUUGAACGCUGGCGGAAUGCUUUACACAUGCAAGUCGAACGGCAGCACGGGGGCAACCCUGGUGGCGAGUGGCGAACGGGUGAGUAAUACAUCGGAACGUGCCCAUGUCGUGGGGGAUAACGUAGCGAAAGCUACGCUAAUACCGCAUACGAUCUACGGAUGAAAGCGGGGGAUCGCAAGACCUCGCGCGAUUGGAGCGGCCGAUGGCAGAUUAGGUAGUUGGUGGGGUAAAGGCUCACCAAGCCAACGAUCUGUAGCUGGUCUGAGAGGACGACCAGCCACACUGGGACUGAGACACGGCCCAGACUCCUACGGGAGGCAGCAGUGGGGAAUUUUGGACAAUGGGCGAAAGCCUGAUCCAGCCAUUCCGCGUGCAGGAUGAAGGCCCUCGGGUUGUAAACUGCUUUUGUACGGAACGAAAAGCCUUCUUCUAAUACAGGAGGGUCAUGACGGUACCGUAAGAAUAAGCACCGGCUAACUACGUGCCAGCAGCCGCCGCGGUAA
rnacentral:rRNA from 1 species